GAACCCGCCCCAGCGCUUGCCAACCUCCAGCUCAGCGCAGAGUUUCGGCGUGGAACUUCCACCGGCUGCUGUUUCCUGGCCGAUUCCCGAGGACUCACAGCUGCGCUUUCGAGAUUUUCGCCGUGCGCCGACGGUUGACUUUGGGUAGUGACCUUGUUAAUCACCCGAUCGGCAGCUGGGCGCCCCGAUCUUGCUAGCGCCAGAGGUCGUUCCGCCGUACAAAUUUCAAACGUCAGUAAAUACAUCCGUCAACUUUUGGGCCAUGGAUCCAAUCAACGAUCUCAUCAAUGAGAUAGAGAUUUACAAGCUGAUGCCAACAAGUUCUGCCGCCAGGAAGGACUGUUUCCUUGCAGACUUGUUCCCUUAAGAAUGUAUAUUCUACAUUUCUUCGUAAUUAUGUAUGCGUUUUCUAUAAUGUUUAGAGUAAGCGUUCUUUAUGUAAUUACUAUUUUGCGUCCACGAUGCCUUGUACGUGUCAUUGUUCUGAUACUAAACGCUUGUAUUACAUUGUAUAAGCGUCUC